GCUGAUCCCCACAACAUGUACUUAAAACAACUACCAUUUAUAUUGCUAAAUUCAAUUAUCUAUCCAUCUAUUAUAAACAUUAAUCUUACUUAAAAAUUAUAAAUAUAUGUAAAAUUAAUAUGAUUUUAUACCUAAAGUAAUUUUAUAGUAGUGUAAUAUAUGGAAACCAUAUCUGGAACAACGCAUGCACAUGACAUUAAUCAUUGUAAGACCCGAAUUUUGCCCGGCCCAUAGGAAAACCAAAAUCAAACACAAAAAUUAAACAGUCCAUCAAAUAGGUUCGGUUUACAAGCCCAAAAUUUUACAAUGGCCCGAUAGGCCCAAAUUUUUAGGGUUUCAGAAACCCUAAGUUCCCCUUUUGCACAGCAGCCCCACGCCGCAAUCCCCACUUCGGCACUCCACGCACGAUCCCCGUGCGCCUCGCUCCAUGUUUGCGCCCAUAAUCCAUGCCCCUCGUUCUCCACAACUUCACGGCCUGCAAGUUGGACAAGGAAGCAGUAGAAACUGCUUGUAUUUUGGCUAUAAAGCCUUUGAUUUUUCAUUUUAAAGGGGUUUUUCUUUUUUUUUGAAAUACAAAAGAUACCAAAAAAGAGAGUAAAAAGCAGCCAAGAAAAUAUUUCUAAGGUGGUUAUUUUAUCAUUUUCUUUUCCCGUUCUUUUGCUUGAUUUUUAUUUCCAUUCAAAUCCGAAAAUAUGAAAUAAAAGGGGAAAGGGUGAGUACCUCUCGAUUCGCUUCGCAAGAGGGGUUCUCCGGCCCUCUGUUGGUCGUCACAGAGGCAAAUGAAGGCUUGGUGUUGGCCUUGUUUGCGGCUGGAAGAAAGAGGACAGUGGGGAGAAGAAAGAGUUUAGGGUUUUUUAGAAAAAAAGAAAUCAAAGUUAAAGUUUUUUUAGCAAAAAAAAAAAAAAGACUUUAAAACUAGCUUUUGUUUUUAAUAAUAAAAUAAAUGGUUGUUAAAAGCAGUAGCAUUUUGGAAAGGCCCGCGUGUUGACCCAAUUCACAGGCUGGGUCCACGUACUUUCAUUUUAAAGGGGAAAUUUUCGCUUCCAGUCCUU
rnacentral:lncRNA from 1 species